UACGGGGGGGGCAAGCGUUGUUCGGAAUUACUGGGCGUAAAGGGCUCGUAGGCGGCUCGUUAAGUCAGACGUGAAAGCCCUCGGCUUAACCGGGGAACGGCGUCUGAGACUGGCAAGCUUGAAUCCGGGAGAGGGAUGCGGAAUUCCAGGUGUAGCGGUGAAAUGCGUAGAUAUCUGGAGGAACACCGGUGGCGAAGGCGGCAUCCUGGACCAACACUGACACUGAGGAGCGAAAGCCAGGGGAGCAAACGGG
rnacentral:rRNA from 1 species